GACGAACGCUGGCGGCGUGCCUAAUACAUGCAAGUAGAACGCUGAAGAGAGGAGCUUGCUCUUCUUGGAUGAGUUGCGAACGGGUGAGUAACGCGUAGGUAACCUGCCUUGUAGCGGGGGAUAACUAUUGGAAACGAUAGCUAAUACCGCAUAACAAUGGAUGACACAUGUCAUUUAUUUGAAAGGGGCAAUUGCUCCACUACAAGAUGGACCUGCGUUGUAUUAGCUAGUAGGUGAGGUAACGGCUCACCUAGGCGACGAUACAUAGCCGACCUGAGAGGGUGAUCGGCCACACUGAGACUGAGACACGGCCCAGACUCCUACGGGAGGCAGCAGUAGGGAAUCUUCGGCAAUGGGGGCAACCCUGACCGAGCAACGCCGAGUGAGUGAAGAAGGUUGUCGGAUCGUAAAGCUCUGUUGUAAGUCAAGAACGAGUGUGAGAGUGGAAAGUUCACACUGUGACGGUAGCUUACCAGAAAGGGACGGCUAACUACGUG
rnacentral:rRNA from 1 species